CCUACGGGAGGCAGCAGUGGGGAAUAUUGCACAAUGGGCGAAACCCUGAUGCAGCGACGCCGCGUGUGGGAAGACGGUCCUCUGGAUUGUAAACCACUGUCACCAGGGACGAAGAUGACGGAACCUGGGGAGGAAGCUCCGUCUAACUACGUGCCAGCAGCCGCGGUAAGACGUAGGGAGCAAGCGUUGUCCGGAAUUACUGGGUGUAAAGGGAGCGUAGGCGGGAUGGAAAGUUGGGUGUUAAAUCUACCGGCUCAACUGGUAGUCGCACUCGAAACUGCAAUUCUUGAGUGAAGUAGAGGCAGGCGGAAUUCCUGGUGUAGCGGUGAAAUGCGUAGAUAUUAGGAGGAACACCGGUGGCGAAGGCGGCCUGCUGGGCUUUUACUGACGCUGAGGCUCGAAAGUGUGGGGAGCAAACAGGAUUAGAUACCCUAGUAGUC
rnacentral:rRNA from 1 species